rnacentral:lncRNA from 1 species
GAGGUAGGUCUUAGUCCUCUGAAAUCCAAUGCUGGCUUCACUUGGAUUUCCCAGUUGUGUGGUGUUCAGUCCUCGGCAUAUGCCAAUCAGCAGAGUCAUGUGUCUUGCUGGAGCUUUGGGUCUAGAAGACUGGGUUUGAACCAGUCUCAGUCACAGCAGUAGUGACCAUAGGAGAGACUGCUUGUGACCUGGCCUCCCCUUUCUUUCUCCAUGUGAAGUAAGGAUUGUUAUGAGUGAUAGCAACCAGAGAACCUUAACAGGAGUGGCUCCGUGGUAUGUGGAGGGCCAGUGUCCCUGGGAGCUUCUCCAUGCUGCAUAUACGUGUAUGCAGACGGUGAACAUGAGCACACCAAGGACAAUGUGGUCCUUUCCCCAGUGUCAGGGUGCAGGUGGAAUGGGAUGUACCUCCUGCCAGCAUGGCCGUGCGCCCAGUGGCUUGUCUGCAGUGUUUGUAUCUGGCCAUGCCAGCAGGGAGUUGUUGCUUCACAGCCCAGUUCUCCUCUGUCCCCUUGAGGCCUUUUCCUCUUCUCCCCAUCCCACUUGCUGAUAUUUCCUUGGUCUGUUUCG